GAGCCGGCUCCGGCCUCAGCUGGCCCAGAGAGGGGCUCCCUCAGUGCAGUGGCGAGCUGAAGGGCUCCUCAAGGGCGGCUGGAGUGGACGCUGAGGCCGAGGAGACGCCAAGAGCAAACGAGGGCUGCUAGUACAUUGUCACCUCUCACUGGUAACUACAGUUGCUGUCAGUUUAACUAAAGAAUCUGAAAUGCCCCUCUGGAAAGUGAUGUACCCAGCAGACAGAAAAGCAGCCUUCAAAAGCUUCUGUAGGGCUUCGUGUUGCUAUCUAUGGUUCCAUGGUCCUGACUGAUCCUGAGUGUCCUAACCAUGGGUUUUGGGUCCAGAGGACAGCCUGGAGUCCACUGGAGGCUCAUGGUAGGGAGAACCCCCACAAGGAGACUGCACUUCAAAGUCCCUCCUGGAUCCCAUUCAGAUCCAAAACUGAGCACCUGCUCUGUGCCAAGAAAUGCUCUAUGGAAAUGAAUCAGUUCCCACCAUCCAGGAGGUCACAGCCUGCUCAGAUGCAAAAGAACUCCAUGCAGGCUAAGCCUUCUUCCCACCAACAUGGAUUGUGCUGAAAGAUGGCAAAUACUUGUAUGCUGACAGUUUUCUACAGCUUAAGACCCGGUUCUUGAUGGGAGAAAAAUAAACAUCAUCAGCUGCUUCCUUCCUAAUAACCAUACUAUUUUAAGGGAACUUGAGAUUUUGUUUAUAAACUACACUGAUGGUUAUGUAACCAAUGAGAUCUAUAUUUCUGGCACAUUUCCUUUCAUACAGACUCAAUUAAAAUUUUCAGCCCUCAUAGUAAUCUUUACAUUUUGUGGUUUACUUGACAACCUGGUGAACCUUGACAUUUACCUGAAAGUCAGAUAUG
rnacentral:lncRNA from 1 species